rnacentral:rRNA from 1 species
UUUGAUCAUGGCUCAAAUUGAACGCUGGCGGCAUGCCUUACACAUGCAAGUCAAACGGCAGCACGGGGGCAACCCUGGUGGCGAGUGGCAAACGGGUGAUUAAUAUAUCGAAACGUGCCCACAAGUGGGGAAUAACGUACCAAAAGUUACCCUAAUACCGCAUACAAUCUACGGAUGAGAGCGGGGAAUCUUCGAACCUCGCGCUCAUGGAGCGGCCAAUAUCUGAUUAGCUAGUUGGUGAGGUAAAGGCUCACCAAGGCAUCAAUCAGUAGCUGGUCUGAGAGGACAACCACCCACACUGAAACUGAAACACGGUCCAAACUCCUACGGGAGGCAGCAGUGGGAAUUUUUGGACAAUGGGGGCAACCCUGAUCCACCAUUGCCGCGUGAGUGAAAAAGGCCUUCGGGUUGUAAAGCUCUUUUGUCAGGGAAAAAACGGUGAUUUCUAAUA